GUUAGCUCAGUUGGUUGGGCGCCAGACUGCCGAGCGGGAGGUCGCGGGUUCGAUUCCCUGCCCGACCA